rnacentral:rRNA from 1 species
UACGAAGGGGGCUAGCGUUGCUCGGAAUCACUGGGCGUAAAGCGCACGUAGGCGGCUUGUUAAGUCAGGGGUGAAAUCCUGGAGCUCAACUCCAGAACUGCCUUUGAUACUGGCGAGCUUGAGUUCGGGAGAGGUGAGUGGAACUGCGAGUGUAGAGGUGAAAUUCGUAGAUAUUCGCAAGAACACCAGUGGCGAAGGCGGCUCACUGGCCCGAUACUGACGCUGAGGUGCGGAAAGCGUGGGGAGCAAACAGGG